GCAUUCUGGAAAAUGCUAGAGCAACCACAUGGAGUAGAAGGUUAUACACUUUGGGAGAGAAAAUCUAUAGGAAUUGCAGAAUGAGCAAACAUUAAUUCUGGAAGAAGAAUCACUCCAAUUUUUCCCUCUGAAAAGAAGAACAAGGGAAACAUAUGGCAUAAGUGCUUAAGGAAAUGUGAGUCAUGGCUUUGAUGAGGCAGCUCCUGAAAAAUCAGCUCCUUCUGCCACCAUAUAAAUAGCAUGAUAAGCCCUAUCGAAGGCUCUGAAGCAUCACAAAAUUGGAAGGAGAAGGAAUGGUAUGAUCUCAAAGUUCAGCAUUGUUCAUGUCAUGAGCAAGAGCCCUGGUAUGCAAGCAAUCUCCACAGCACCUGCGAGCCUCUCAGUAGUUCCCAAUACAAAGGCCAAGAACUAGUCAGCAAGGCUGCAAGGCCAGCAACCAAGUGCAAGUCCACAGAAAGUGUGCUGCAUCUGGAAUGACUGCUGACUGUACAGCCCCACAUCUGCCUUUAGGCCUUCAGUGGAUCUGACUUUACCUAACACGCCUCUGACUAGAGCAGGAAGCACCUGUCGUCUGCUUGGUAGGAAGAAUAAUUUGUUGUUAUUGCUGUACUUUCUGAUAGAUCACAUUUCUCUUCUUAACUAAUUCUUGGGUGAUUUCCUGGGCCUUCCUAAUUCCGGAGAAGUCAUUCUUUAUUCUUCUUUCCUAGAUGUGAGUUCUCAGAAUACAUCAAAGCCUCUUAUAUUUCAAAAUAUAUGAAAAAGAAUAUGUGAGUUUUUUCUUCAUCUUAGACUCCACCUCUAUAUCACUUGGGAGGGAUUAUGAAUAAAUUAUGACUAAAAGUUACCAGAUUUAUCUCUCUGAUGAGCAAAUCCAUUUCUAUAUCAAUAUUUAUUUUUGUGAACUAUCGGCUCCUAACUUUAGAACUAGUACUAUUUCAUAAAAUGAAUCUCCUGAAGAAACUUCUCAAGAAGUUUUGUGCAUCCAUAAAUCAGUCAGACUUUAUUUCUAAGACUCCUAAAAUUUAAACUAAUGGACAUACGUGGGGAUGAUCUAAAAACAUCGGUAAAUAUCAGAUGAGUCCUCAUUAACUAGAUAUCUGAGAGAUCAGAACAUAAGAAAAAUAAGAGAAGGGGAUGGAAGGACAUGGGGAAGAAGGUUGGGGUUUGUUCCAUUGGGAACUCUUAGGUGCAAAGAUGAGUAUCUUAAUGGUUUUGAGACUUACUUUAGCCCAUGAUAUAAAAUAG
rnacentral:lncRNA from 1 species